GACGAACCGUGCGAACGUUGUUCGGAUUCACUGGGCUUAAAGGGCGCGUAGGCGGGCGGUCAAGUCAGGGGUGAAAUCUUUCGGCCUAACCGGAAAAGGGCCUCUGAUACUGGCCGUCUCGAGGGAGGUAGGGGCAUGCGGAACUUCCGGUGGAGCGGUGAAAUGCGUAGAUAUCGGAAGGAACGCCGGUGGCGAAAGCGGCGUGCUGGACCUCUUCAGACGCUGAGGCGCGAAAGCCAGGGGAGCGAACGGG
rnacentral:rRNA from 1 species